GGCCGAGUGGCGGAAUUGGCAGACGCAUCGGACUUAAAAUCCGAAGUUCCGAAAGGAGCGUGCGGGUUCGAGUCCCGCCUCGGCUA
rnacentral:tRNA from 1 species